UGAAACCUAGUUUGACAAGACUGUAGGCAC
rnacentral:misc_RNA from 1 species